GGUGCGAGCGUUGUCCGGAUUUAUUGGGCGUAAAGAGCUUGUAGGCGGUUGGUUGCGUCGAAAGUGCAAACUCAGGGCUUAACUCUGAGCCUGCUUUCGAUACGGGCUGACUGGAGGAAGGUAGGGGAGAAUGGAAUUCCCGGUGGAGCGGUGGAAUGCGCAGAUAUCGGGAGGAACACCAGUGGCGAAGGCGGUUCUCUGGACCUUUCCUGACGCUGAGAAGCGAAAGCGUGGGGAGCAAACAGGCUUAGAUACCCUGGUAGUCCACGCUGUAAACGGUGGGUACUAGGUGUGGGGGACAUUCCACGUUCUCUGUGCCGUAGCUAACGCAUUAAGUACCCCGCCUGGGGAGUACGGCCGCAAGGCUAAAACUCAAAGGAAUUGACGGGGCCCCGCACAAGCGGCGGAGCAUGCGGAUUAAUUCGAUGCAACGCGAAGAACCUUACCUGGGUUUGACAUAUAUCGGAAACGUUCAGAGAUGGGCGCCCCGUAAGGUCGGUAUACAGGUGGUGCAUGGCUGUCGUCAGCUCGUGUCGUGAGAUGUUGGGUUAAGUCCCGCAACGAGCGCAACCCUCGUCCAAUGUUGCCAGCGGGU
rnacentral:rRNA from 1 species